rnacentral:misc_RNA from 1 species
GAUGAAGAACGUAGCGAAAUGCGAUAAGUAAUGUGAAUUGAAGAAUUCAGUGAAUCAUCGAAUCUUUGAACGCACAUUGCGCCCGCCAGUAUUCUGGCGGGCAUGCCUGUUCGAGCGUCAUUUCAACCAUCAAGCCCUGCUUGCGUUGGGGUCCUGCGGCUGCCCGCAGGCCCUGAAAACCAGUGGCGGGCUCGCUAGUCACACCGAGCGCAGUAAUACAUCUCGCUUUGGGCGUGCGGCGGGUUCUUGCCGUUAAACACCCCCUUUUUACCAAGGUUGACCUCGGAUCAGGUAGGAAUACCCGCUGAACUUAAGCAUAUCAAUAAGCGGAGGA